UACGUAGGUGACAAGCGUUGUCCGGAUUUACUGGGCGUAAAGAGCGCGCAGGCGGUCGUUCAAGUCGAGUGUGAAAGCCCCCGGCUCAACUGGGGAGGGUCAUUCGAUACUGAUCGACUCGAAGGCAGGAGAGGGAAGUGGAAUUCCCGGUGUAGUGGUGAAAUGCGUAGAUAUCGGGAGGAACACCAGUGGCGAAGGCGGGUCUCUGGACAGAUCCUGACACUGAGGCACGAAGGCCAGGGGAGCAAACGGG
rnacentral:rRNA from 1 species